GUUUAAGAGGUGUUACAAAGAGGCGCCUAUUAGACGAUUCCCUCGAAGGAGAAAUAAGAAAGAUCACGCUAUAGCAGAAAUUUUUUCCCAUUCACCUGAAUCGUAAAAGGCGUCGAUUGUCGACCGCAGCAAUUAAACUAUAAAAUAUUAAAAAAGCGCAUUACAACAAAUAGACGCAUAUGUUUUUUUAAAAAGAAAAUUACAUUGACGGAAACCUGCAACAGUCUAAAUAAAAAUGUGCAUAGAUAACGCUACAGAAACGGUUAAGAGGGCGCACUAUUGAGUUGUAACCAAACCAAGCGUAAGGCCACCACAGGGAAAGAGACUGAGGGAGUGAGAGAGAGAGAGUCAGAGAGAGAAAGAGAUAGGCAGACAGAGAGACAGAAUCAGAGUGAGGAAGACCUAAUAUAGAUAAAAAAAAAGGUAGAGAGAGAAAGAGAGAAGGAGAAUAAGAGAAAAAAGUGAAAAGGAGAAAGAGAGAGAAAGAGAUAUUAAGAGGAAAAGAGAAAGAAAGGGGGAAAGGCUAACGAGUUUUUUAUGGGUGGAAAGAAGUUGAAAUUCCAUCAGAUAUUCCCCCAUCCACAGGCUAAAGAGUGUGUGCGAAAAUUAUAGGCCUUCGAAUUUAGUAAUGAAAUUCUCAUCAAGCCUAUAGAGCAAUAAAAGGCAACAUAAAAUUGCAGUUGAUCAGUAACCGAUAUGGAGAGUGGAUAAGAAGCUCUGCAAAACAUGUUUCUUAAGAUUAGAAUUAGAGAAGAAAUAUUUAAGGGAUUUAUUACUUUCCCUUUGACUUAAAUCCGAAUGGGAGAGAUUAGCGUCUAAUCCGCCUUUUUCCAGCAGCGGAUCAACAGAUAAGAAAGAUGAAUAUUACAAAUAUUACUAAUUUGACCGAUUUGGAAAAUGUCACGAUCAAUUUUAAGGUGGAAGAGAGUCAUUCAAUUUCCAUCAAUUAUAAACUACCGGAAAUGAUAGUUGUUGCAGUUGUUUUAUUUUUAAUGGUUAUUGGAACUGCAUUUGGUAAUGCAUUAGUGGCCGUUGCCCUAUUCAAAUUCAGGUCUCUACGAACUAUUUCUAAUUAUCUUAUUGGAAAUUUGGCUUUAAGCGACUUUCUCUUGGCGGUUACAAUUUUGCCCUUUUCGGCCUUGAACGAAGUCCUAGGCUAUUGGAUCGUUGGUAGCAUACUCUGCAAUUUCUGGUUGACUGCAGAUGUUUUAUACUGUACAGCAUCGAUCUGGAAUCUCGCUUUUAUUGGACUUGAUCGUUAUACAGCAACACUCUAUCCAGUUUGGUAUAGGGAAAAACGGAAUACAAAACAGGCUGCUAUUUACAUAACAACCGUAUGGCUCUUAUCCAUAUCUAUAUCAGUACCUGCACUUCUCGGCUGGCAGAACAUAUCUGCUAAUUACAAAUAUCAGACUGACAAAAAUGUUUACACAUGCGAACUAUUUGAUACUCAAAGCUAUGUAUUAUACUCAGCUUCCGGUUCAUUCUUUAUUCCUUUCCUAAUAACUGUUUUCCUCUAUAUUCGCAUCUUUAUGGUGCUAAGAAAGAGAAUGAAAAAGAUGAAGGCUGCAAGAGAAGGCCUAAAGAGAAGAGCGAAGGAACAAAGUGCUAUGAUUAAACCUCCAAAAAUUGAAUUAGAAACUAUGGAUGGUAAGAAAGAAGCGAGUAGCGAUAGUCAGGAUAUGGAAUUUACGCAUUUAAGGGUCUCCAGCACAGCCGUUCCGAGUAGCUCGGAAACCGACGCCCGCAACGGCAUGAAAGACCAAACUCAAACUGAUGAUUCUCUCGUUAUGCUGAACCCUAAUCAUUCGGAUAACAACCAAACGAAGCCUAAAUUACUCUUUUCCAAUUUAAAACUGUCUAACCCCUUCAAAAGUAGCAAAGGAAAGCACAGACCUUCCGAAAAGAAACGCUACGAUCAGAAGGAAGUUAGAGCAACAAUUCGAAUGGCUAUCAUCAUUGCCUGUUUUUGCGGCUGUUGGUUAGGAUUUUUCGUCAUCUACGUCGUCAAAUCUUGGUGUCCUAAUUGCCCGAUUCCUAGAAUUAUCGACUCUUUCUUUUUCUGGUUAGGUUAUGCUAAUUCGAGCAUGAACCCGGUGUUGUAUACCAUUUUUAAUGAUGACUUUAGAAAAGCUUUUCAAAAACUGUUGGGCUGUUAUAAAAAAGCCUCACAUGUCGGAAGGAUAAGGCAUUGAACCUUUUAAUCUUUAACAACCAUUUUUUCCUAAAACCUUUUUUUCCCACCCUGCCUCCCUGUCUCCCUCCCUAACCCUUUUCCCAUGCCUUAAUAUUUCUGUUUCUUGUUCUUGAUUAUUUACUUUUCUUUUCCUGAUCGCGUUCAUUCGUUCAUUCGUUCAUUCAUUCAUUCAUUCAUUCAUUCAUAUACUGUAUUCAGUCUUGAUGUAUCUUUCUGUCGGUUUUUUUUCCCUUUCCUAUGUUACACUGUAUAUUCAUUUCUUUCAGUUGUUUUCGAUAUCAUCUAUAUAAGUGUAUGUUUAUAUAUCAUAUAUAUAAAUACUGUAUACUGUACAUAUAAAUAUAUAUACGUCUCUGCAUAUAUUAUAUACAAUAUAAUGUAUAAGUAAUAAUAUUACAGUACAUUUUCUUCCGUUUCAUAUCUCUUACCUCCUUCCAUUCUUGUAGGAAUUUAUUAAACUUUUUAAUAUCUUUUUCUCUCUCUCUCUCAUUUCCUUCUACACGCAAUCGCUGUUGUCACCAACAUCGAAAAUAUAACUCUUAACGAUAAUGAUAGCAUAUAAUAAAAUCUAUUGUAUAUUAUAUAUGUAUUAUUAGUAGUAUUAGAGGUAUUCUUGAUCGUCUUAGCCACGUUUACCACGGUCACAAUUGUCGUCAUCGUUAUCGUCACCAUCAAAUCGAUCAUCUCGGAAAAUAAACCACAAUGUCUUCCUCAUAUACUGUAUUUUCUCUUUGUACAUAUACUGUACAUAUUAUCAGUAAUAUACCAGACAAUAAAACAUUUAUUCAAUUGUCAAACAAUACAACGAAAUACUGUUUGUAGCUUUUAGUUUUACAUCUACAACGUAAAUUUUAAUCAGGAUCAGGGUAGAAUAACCGAAACGAGGGUGCGAAUCAGAGAAAAAGCAUGAAACAACGAGUGACUGAAGGAGAGAGAGAGAGAGAGAAAUGGAAUAAAUUACGCAAUACGUUCUGAAUAAAACCUUUUCGGUUAAACGUUUGUAUAGAAUAUUAAUUAAGUUGUAUAAAAGAGAGAGAGAGAGAGAAAGAGAGAAAGGGAAGCCUAAAAGAAAGUAAAAAAGAAAAAAAUAAAAGUAAUAUAUGCCGUAUGUAAACUGUGAAUAAUAUCAAGUUAAAAUAAACUUUUUCUUUCUUUCCAAUAUACUCAUAAUAAACCAUUCUCUAUCGUUCUCUUCCCUCUUCUCCUUUCUCCCUCUUUUUUCACUCUCAAAGGAAAAUAAAUAAUGAGAAAUAUUGGGGGAAAAUUUUCUUUAUUUUUUUAAAACUAAUUAUUAUUUCUCUUCCUUCCUUCCUCGCUCCCGCCCUCUCUCUCCUUCCCUGCCUCCCUCAUCUUUCUGUAUACAUCAUUCGUUCAUUCAUUCAUUCACUCUUCCUUUCUUUCCAUUCUUUCUCUUCCUGACAAUUCUCUUGCUUUCCAAAUUAAUUACAUAUACAACGAAU
rnacentral:misc_RNA from 1 species